AUACGAAGGGUGCAAGGCGUUACUCGGAAUUACUGGGCGUAAAGCGUGCGUGGGUGGUUCGUUAAGUCUGUCGUGAAAGCCCCGGGCUCAACCUGGGAAUGGCGAUGGAUACUGGCGGGCUAGAGUGCGGUAGAGGAGAGUGGAAUUCCCGGUGUAGCAGUGAAAUGCGUAGAGAUCGGGAGGAACAUCAGUUGCGAAGGCGGCUCUCUGGACCAGCACUGACACUGAGGCACGAAAGCGUGGGGAGC
rnacentral:rRNA from 1 species